rnacentral:rRNA from 1 species
UACGUAGGGUGCGAGCGUUGUCCGGAAUUAUUGGGCGUAAAGGGCUCGUAGGCGGUUUGUCGCGUCGGGAGUGAAAACCAGGUGCUUAACACCUGGCUUGCUUUCGAUACGGGCAGACUAGAGGUAUUCAGGGGAGAACGGAAUUCCUGGUGUAGCGGUGAAAUGCGCAGAUAUCGGGAGGAACACCAGUGGCGAAGGCGACUACCUGGCCUGUUCUUGACGCUGAGGCGCGAAAGCUAGGGGAGCAAACGGG